ensembl:lncRNA
UUCAGUAAAAACAUUAUCUUUAUUAAAAUAUUUCAGUUCAUGAAAUUCAGUUGGCUUGCUUGAUGCCGUAUCAUAAGUAAAAACUUGUUGUGCAGACACUGGAUUCAAUUUGUCAAACUCCAACCUGCAGUGAACAAUCUUCACCAUUUGGGGUCAAUAUUGAACUCCUUCGCCCUCCUUUCAGAAAAUUUGUCUUCUGUUAACAGCUCUAAAUGCUUUCAACUGCCCAGAAAAGUAUAGUUUAAGGAGAUGUAAUAUGGAGAGUUUCCAUAUUUCUUUAGAAUCAUUAUCAAGCUUUUUAAAAUACCACUGUUUAUAUUGUAGUAAUAUUAAAGUGAGUCUAAUCAGUUGGAUACUUAGAGUGUCACACAGUACCUCUACAGUUUCCUCAACAUGAUUCUGUAAGAGAUAUAACGUGGUUCAAGUUUUCAAGUGUCUUGUUGCUGAAUUCAGUCCUCUCUGUCCAUACAACAGUGAGAUGUUAAAUUCUUCCAUAUGUUGGGCAACUAGAUAGCUGCUUUAAAUUUAUGACACACUUAAGGUAGGAAACAGCAUGAAGUAUCCCAAAGAGUGAUACAACCCAGGUGGAAGCUACUACUGCGUUGUAGCUCAUAAACUUUAUGAACAUUUUCUGAGCUUUGCACUUGACUGAUUCAUUUUGAGAUUAAAAGAAAAAAGCCUUUAGCCUCUUUUGUUUUGCUUGUGUCUACUUUGACACAAGUUUGAAAAUGUCAAUGAUUCUGAGCAGCACCCAAAUCCACAUGAAUCAUUUUUAUUCAAAAAUAACACAUUUCAGUGUUUUCUUUUCCAUGGAUCUAAUUUCCUUUGCUAUGAAUAAGAAACAUUAUCAAAACACAUUUGAAUGGUGAAGUGCAAAAACAAGUGAAACAAAAAAAAGCUGUCUUUUCUCUACCAAACUGACAUGCUACAAGACUCCUUCACUACAUUUUUCCCAUCAUGAUUUGUAGUGAUUACUAGCCUUUUGGGCUGUUUUAGAUCUUGCAUGUGAUUUGCAGCUCUGCAGCGUCUGGAAGCACUUCAGCAGACACACAUAAGCUCACUGUGUUCAAACCUGGAUUGAAACAGGCACUCAGGAGAGACUGCACAGCCCUCAAAGAAAGGCUGGUUUCUUUUCUGGUUUCUUGGCAUAACUAUCCAAUUCAAAUUAGAUGCAACUGGACUUGUGAUUGUAGUAUAUUAAGCACCAGAUACUGCAUAAGUAUGGUCCUGACUGUGCAUAGUGAUGACGACGGGAAUCUUAAAACACAAACUGAAAUAGUAAACUAACCUCACCAUAGUUAAAAUAAACAGUCCUCAGAGCUGACAACGUGCAGUCUCGCCUAAGCAUUUCCAUGUUGUGAAUUAGCUACUGUAACAGCCUAAUGUUUGACAUGAUAUAAACAGAGAGAAAAGUAUAUCUUUUUUUACAAGAAGCCAGAAUGACAGUGAAGUAAGUGAACAAUCAUACACCCCCACAGUGACAUUUAGUAAAACAAAGCUUAUUGUACAUAUUUACAAAAGGAGCUUUUUUUUGUCUCAUAAUUGUGAGCCAUUGCAGGGACUAUUGGGGAAUACAACUCAUACAAAGUAUUUAAACCACAACAGCAAAGGCACGAUUCUCCGAUUGUUCCCAAAUGUGAGGAUCACAUUUUUAUUUUUUACACUGCAAAACUAAAAGGAUUUUUUCCCCCCUUCACUGCUCAUAAAAUGUUAGCAUUUAUCAGACACCCGGGGCAGUAUUUUUCAAAAGACUUACUUCAGUGUCUUACAUAAAGUGGAAAAGCUCCACUAUGAGUAGUUUUAAGUGUUUGAGACAACAAGACUGACAUCAGCUGUUUGAGGUCAGACAGUAAUUGUGUUUACAUACACAAUACAUAGUCUGACAUUACUGGGAAGGCUCCAGUAUUUACUGUAUGAACUGCCACGCCAUAUCUUGUGAGGUAAACGUGAAUAUGAUCGAUGAAAUGGGCUGAGAUUAACAAGAUAUUGAACCAUGUGAACUUCUUACUCUAUUUACUGGUUAGAUUAGUCAACUGUGGAGUCGUUUUUCUCUGAUACUAAUAAUAUUUAAAACAUCUUUAUUGGAAUGUAAUCUAUUUAGAAAACUAAAAUCUCCACAAGAGAGUCAAAGAUUUGUUCAGUUUGGAUCAGUAAACACUAGAAGGCAGAAUUAAAGAAAGAUCAUUACAUGAUUGAUUUUGUAAAGAACGGAUACUAACAUUAUAAUAGUGUAGUUUAACAAAACCUGCACAAUUACUUUUAACACUAUAUAAACUUAUACACAAAAGAAUGGGAUGCAUGUAUUAUAAAUGAGUGGCCUCCACUGUGGUAAGGACACAUUUAAAUUGAAGAUGCAUUAGUGAAUGCGUCCCAUUUGUUUAUGUAAGCACCAAUGCAAUGGAUUCUGAUCACAUAGUGUCAGACUUGGAACUUAAACAACAAUUUGCCAGCUCCUCAUUAGUGUAAACUUGAGAUCUAUGUUACUUUAUACAAAUCAGAGGUGCCUGGUGCAAUAGCAACUCUGGAGGCUUGGGAAAAUUUAACCAAAUCGGUAACACAUGAAGACAGAUUUUGUUUCAGAGCUCAAACUUUGUUUUUUUUCCGGGAAAAUAUUUUGCGGCUCUUUUUGCAAACAGUGUGUUUGUUUUGGUAUGAAAUCAUUUGUACAAUUCUACUUGGUUUCAGAAGAGCAUCUAUCAAAUUAUCUGUCAUUACAAGGUCUAGUAGCUCGCCCAUCUAACAUAAAGCUUCUCAAUAACCCAGCUCUAAAAACACCUGUGUGGACAUUUAUGCUAAAAUGAAACCCACAACUUUAUACGGCUGUAUUUUAGAGUUGUUUGUCUCUGUGUGGUUACAUGCGUGUGGUUGCAUUCCUGAAUUCUUUCAUUACUUCAUAUUUAAUACUGUUUGUUCGUAUUCCAACCUUUGUGUAAACAUGUUGAAAUGUCUUCCACUGGGUGCAACAGUGUAAAGUUCCAUGAACAUCCUGUGUGAAAUCUUUUACUAGCAGCUGUUUUGCAUGUUUAAUUUGUCAGAAUCUUUU